rnacentral:rRNA from 1 species
GUGCCAGCAGCCGCGGUAAUACGGGGGAUGCAAGCGUUAUCCGGAAUCAUUGGGCGUAAAGCGCCUGUAGGUUGUUUAAUAAGUCCGUUGUUAAAGACUAGGGCUUAACCCUAGAAAAGCGAUGGAAACUACUAGACUUGAGUAUGGCAGGGGUAGAGGGAAUUUCUAGUGUAGCGGUGAAAUGCGUAGAUAUUAGAAAGAACACCGGUGGCGAAAGCGCUCUACUGGACCAUUACUGACACUCAGAGGCGAAAGCUAGGGUAGCAAAAGGGAUUAGAUACCCCUGUAGUCCUAGCCGUAAACGAUGGAUACUAGAUGUUGUAUGUAUUUUACAGUAUCGUAGCUAACGCGUUAAGUAUCCCGCCUGGGGAGUACGCUCGCAAGGGUGAAACUCAAAGGAAUUGACGGGGGCCCGCACAAGCGGUGGAGCAUGUGGUUUAAUUCGAUGCAACGCGAAGAACCUUACCAGGGCUUGACAUACUGCGAAUCUUUUUGAAAGGAAAGAGUGCCUUCGGGAAUGCAGAUACAGGUGGUGCAUGGCUGUCGUCAGCUCGUGUCGUGAGAUGUUGGGUUAAGUCCCGCAACGAGCGCAACCCUUAUUUUUAGUUACCAAUUUACUUGGGUUCUCUAGAAAGACUGCCGGUGACAAACCGGAGGAAGGUGAGGAUGACGUCAAGUCAGCAUGCCCCUUAUGUCCUGGGCUACACACGUGCUACAAUGGUUGGGACAAAGAGUUGCAAGUUUGCAAAAACAAGCUAAUCUCAUAAACCUAACCUAAGUUC